GACGAACGCUGGCGGCGUGCUUAACACAUGCAAGUCGAACGGAAAGUCCCUGCUUUUGUGGUUUGCUCGAGUGGCGAACGGGUGAGUAACACGUGAGUAACCUGCCCUUGACUUUGGGAUAACUUCAGGAAACUGGGGCUAAUACCGGAUAUGAGCUCCUGCUGCAUGGUGGGGUUUGGAAAGUUUCGGCGGUUGGGGAUGGACUCGCGGCUUAUCAGCUUGUUGGUGGGGUAGUGGCUUACCAAGGCUUUGACGGGUAGCCGGCCUGAGAGGGUGACCGGCCACAGGGGGACUGAGAUACGGCACAGACUGCUACGGGAGGCAGAAGUGGGGAAUAUUGCACAAUGGGCGGAAGACUGAUGCAGCAACGCCGCGUGCGGGAUGAAGGCCUUCGGGUUGUAAACCGCUUUCGCCUGUGACGAAGCGUGAGUGACGGUAAUGGGUAAAGAAGCACCGGAUAACUACGUG
rnacentral:rRNA from 1 species